GCCCGCGUAGUGUAGUCCGGUCUAGCAUUCGGGACUGUCACUCCUGCGACCCGGGAUAUUUGGAAUGGUUUUUCAAUUACGGGAAUUCAAAAUACUUACUCAUAUCGAGUUAGUUGGAGUGUCCCGGCGCGGGCG
rnacentral:tRNA from 1 species